rnacentral:rRNA from 1 species
CUCCUGCUAAUUAAUAGCAGGUAGCCCCUGCUCAAUGAGAAAUUAAAUAGCCGCAGUAUCUUGACUGUGCUAAGGUAGCAUAAUAAAUUGUUCUUUUAAUAGAAGGCUUGAAUGAAUGGGGUGCCGGUGCUAUAGCUUUCUUAGUUAAACCGAAAGAAAUUGAUAUCUUCCUCAAAAAGUGAAGCUUUUUAAAAAGACGACAAGACCCUAUAAAGCUUGAACCCGAAGAAAACUUGUGUAACUUGGCAGCUUUACUUAUUUUCUCGAGUUAAGCUGGGGCGGCAGAUUUACAGGCUAAAUCAAAUAUAACACUAAUUAGUGGAACUAAAGACCUUUUUAUUAAAAUAGAAUAAGUUACUUUAGGGAUAACAGCACAAUUCCUCUGGAAAGGUCUUAUUGAUAGAGGAGACUUGUGACCUCGAUGUUGAAUUUGAGGAGCUCUUCUCAGGCAGAAAGGAGGAGGGAGAGGUCUGUUCGACCUUUAAUUCCUC